UUUUUGUGAGGAAUUUUUUUCCAAAAUUGGGAUUUUUCUCCUCAGCUACGGCGCCUACCCCGCCCCUCCCAGCCAGAGCUACUCCCAGGGCGGGGGGCAGAGCUACUCCCAGCAGAGCUACGGCGGCUACGGGCAGAGCUCGGACACGGGCUACGGCCAGGGGGGCUACGGAUCCUCCUACGGACAGAGCCAGAGCGGUGAGCCAGGAAAACAUUCCCAAAAAAUCCCGAAAUUCCCAAAAAUCCCCGUCCUUCUACCCCGUUUUCAUCAAAAUCGGCGCUUUCGGAGCCAAAACUGACCCAAAGUUGGCUCAAAACUGACCCAAAUUUGCGUCAAAACCCACCCAAAACUGUCUGGGCAGAGCCAGGAUAGUAAAUGAGGUCAACAUUCCCAAAAUUCCAAAAAAAAUUCCAAAAAAAUUCCCGAAAUUCCCCAAAAUCCCCGUCUUUUUACCCCGUUUUAAUCAAAAUCGGCGCUUUCGGAGCCAAAACUGACCCAAAGUUGGCUCAAAACUGACCCAAAUUUGUGUCAAACCCACCCAAAACUGUCUGGGCAGAGCCAGGAUGGUGAGUGAGGUCAACAUUCCCAAAAUUCCCAAAUAAUUGCCAAAAAAUUCCCAAAAUUCCCAAAAAUCCCCGUCCUUUUACCCCGUUUUAAUAAAAAUCGGCGCUUUCGGAGCCAAAACUGACCCAAAGUUGGCUCAAAACUGACCCAAAUUUGCGUCAAAACCCACUCAAAACUGUCUGGGCAGAGCCAGAAUGGUGAGUGAGGUCAACAUUCCCAAAAUUCCCAAAACAUUCCCAAAAAAUUCCCAAAAAAAUUCCCAAAAAUCCUCGUCCUUUUACCCUGUUUUCAUCAAAAUCGGCGCUUUUGGAGCCAAAACUGACCCAAAUUUGCGUCAAAACCCACCCAAAACUGUCUGGGCAGAGCCAGAAUGGUGAGUGAGGUCAACAUUCCCAAAAUUCCCAAAAAAUUCCCCCCAAAAAAUUCCCGAAAUUCCCCAAAAUCCCCGUCCUUGUACCCCGUUUUAAUCAAAAUCGCCGCUUUCAGAGCCAAAACUGACCCAAAGUUGGCUCAAAACUGACCCAAAUUUGCGUCAAUACCCACCCAAAACUGUCUGGGCAGAGCCAGAAUGGUGAGUGAGGUCAACAUUCCCAAAAUUGCCAAAAAAUUCCCAAAAAAAUUCCCGAAAUUCCCCAAAAUCCCCGUCUUUUUACCCCGUUUUAAUCAAAAUCGGCGCUUUCGGAGCCAAAACUGACCCAAAUUUGCGUCAAAACCGACCCAAAACUGUCUGGGCAGAGCCAGAAUGGUGAGUGAGGUCAACAUUCCCAAAAUUGCC
rnacentral:lncRNA from 1 species